CUUCCCAUUCCACUACCAUUUAUAUAUGCUGCAAAUUAAGUGGUUAUGCUUAUGGGAUAAAGAAAAGCUUGUCAGAGUCUGAAGGGGAAGACUGACAAUAUCUUCUUCCUAUAUGAACUGGCAGAACAGUUUUAC